GUGGGGAAUCUUCCGCAAUGGACGAAAGUCUGACGGAGCAACGCCGCGUGAGUGAAGAAGGUUUUCGGAUCGUAAAGCUCUUUCGUUAGGGACGAACGUGCUCUUUGUGAAUAAUGAGGAGUAAUGACGGUACCUAAAUAAGAAGCCACGGCUAACUACGUGCCAGCAGCCGCGGUAAUACGUAGGUGGCAAGCGUUGUCCGGAAUUAUUGGGCGUAAGGCGCGCGCAGGCGGGAUAUCAAGUCUGUCUUAAAAGUGCGAGGCUCAACCUCGUGAGGGGACAGAAACUGGUAUUCUUGAGUGUCGGAGAGGAAAGUGGAAUUCCAAGUGUAGCGGUGAAAUGCGUAGAGAUUUGGAAGAACACCAGUGGCGAAGGCGACUUUCUGGACGAUGUCUGACGCUGAGGCGCGAAAGCUAGGGGAGCGAACGGGAUUAGAAACCCCGGUAGUCC
rnacentral:rRNA from 1 species